GAUGAAGAACGUAGCGAAAUGCGAUACUUGGUGUGAAUUGCAGAAUCCCGUGAACCAUCGAGUCUUUGAACGCAAGUUGCGCCCGAAGCCGUCAGGCCGAGGGCACGCCUGCCUAGGCGUCACACGCCGUUGCCCCCCCGCGCCCCGCACCCAACGCUUUGGGAGCGACCGCGGGGCGGGCUGAUGAUGGCCUCCCGUGCGCUCCGCCGCGCGGUUGGCCCAAAUACCGAGUCCCCGGCGACGUGCGCCACGACGAUCGGUGGUUGAGAGACCUCUGUCGCAAGUCGUGCGCGCCCGUCGCGUCACGCGGGCUCGCAUAGCGCCUCGCGCCGCACCCGGUGCGGAGCUUUCAACGCGACCCCAGGUCAGGCGGGGUUACCCGCUGAAUUUAAGCAUAUCAAUAAGCGGAGGA
rnacentral:misc_RNA from 1 species